ensembl:antisense
AUAUAUAUAAAUUGUUCCGUUAUUAAUUGUCUUUGUUUUGUUUUUUCUAGUUCUGACGUCUUUUGUUGAACAUGAUGAAGCCCUAACUUUGAUGUGCAACACCAGCCUGGGAAACCAUCUCAUCAUAUACGAAGAGGCAGAUGCUACAGACCAUUGUGAAGGUGUUAGAAUCAUCAAUGAAGGCAUCCAAAUACUUCAAUUUGGACAAUGUGGCAAGAAUGCAGGAUGUUGAACAUGAUGAAGCCCAAACUUUGCUGUACAACACCACCCAAGGAAACCAUCUUGUCAUAUAUGAAGAUGCUACAGACCAUUGUGAAGGUGUUGGACUCAUCACUGAAGACAUCCAAAAACCUUGUCGUGAUUAACUCAUUGAACUUGGAUUCUCACAAAAUCAGAGCAGACUCAAGCGCAUGGAGAACAUUAGAAACUGGACACAUAUACCACAUCCACAGUAGACAUCUUCAGUCAUUUUCAUCGCUUGUAUUUAUUUUCAGAGGAAAUGCAGCUCAGCACCACCUUCAAGAUGGGCAGUUUCCAGUGGCACCACGUGGAGGAACGGACUUCGCCACCUAUAUAUACAGGCUCUUCUGGCUGAGGUGAAAUAGCGCCCUUUGUCUGACAGGUUGCACCUUUAGCGACAGCUUUACAGCCAGGCUUAGCAGGGACCACAUUUGGAGGGGGGUAAUGACUACAGCCGGGCUUAGCAGGGACCACAUUUCGAGGGGGGUAAUGACUACAGCCGGGCUCAGCAGAGACCACAUUUGGUGGGUCAUCAUGACUACAGCCGGGCUCAGCAGAGACCACAUUUGGUGGGUCAUCAUGACUACAGCCUGGCUCAGCAGAGACCACAUUUGGAGGUGGGUCAUCACCACAGCCGGACUCAGCUGACAGAAAAUCUGUAGAAGGGUCUUCACCACAGCCGGACUCAGCGGACAGAAAAUCUGUUGAGUGGUCAUCACCACAGCCGGACUCAGCGGACAGAAAAUCUGUAGAGGGGUCAUCACCACAGCCGGACUCAGCGGACAGAAAAUCUGUUGAGUGGUCAUCACCACAGCCGGACUCAGCAGAGAAGAAGCUGCUGUAGGAGCUGGCUGUGAGCUCACUACUACAGUUGGAUCCAGCUGAGUAAAUGUCUUGAGGGAAGUCAUCACUACUGCUGGAGGAGCUGGCUAAGUCCUCACUGUGACCAUCGACAGGCUCUACCAGUGAUAAUUCUUCACCGUGAACACUGUCGGGCUCUACCAGUGAUUGUUCUUCACCGUGAACACUGUCAGGCUCUACCAGUGGUUGUUCUUCACCGGGAACACUGUCGGGCUCUACCAGUGGUUGUUCUUCACCGGGAACACUGUCGGGCUCUACCGGUGGUUGUUCUUCACUCUGACCAUCAACAGGUUCCUCCAGUGAUGGUUCCUCAAUCUGAACAUUGAUCUGUUCCUCAAGAUGCAAAGAUGAUUCUUUACACCAGUCACCGAUUUCUCGACCUAAAGGAAGAAAUAACAUGAAACAAAAGGUUUUAGUUUUACUUGAAUAAUAUUUAUCCAGUGUUUAUUAUUGAUAUGAACAAAUGCUGUCAAUUAUGAAGUCACAAACAAGGUAAUUUCUUUCUACUUUUAGUUGUUGAUUAGUGUGUGCAUAUGCAAGGAUGUUUUGCUGUGACCAACAUAGUGAUUUGAAUUGAUUUGCUGAAUGUAUAUAUAAUCAGGUCAUCUAAAUCUUUAUUGUUAAGUUUAUGUUCAGAUACUGGAUAUUAGACGUCUAGAUAUUGAGAUGUUCCUUUCAGCCAUUACAUUAGGUAGGCUUAUUAUGUCAUUAAAUUAAAAAUGUCACAUGAUGAAAUUACUGUUCAUAAUCAAAUUCACUUUGCAAUUAAUGAUUUGUUUUCUAUAAAAACUUGUCAAUAUGACCUUAUAGCUGAUAUAUUUUGUAUCAUAUAACAAUGAAUAAAAUAACCCGAAGCUUGGCAAAAACACUAAACCUAUGAGAAAAAAUUUCAUAUUUUCCACU